AAAGAAAGACGAUAAGACCCUAUUGAACUUAACUGUAGUUAAACUGGGSCAGUAAAUUAAUUAUUAUUUUAAUAAAAUAUACUAUAUAAAUAUCUAAUAAAAUUAAAUAAUUCAGUUACCAUAGGAUACAGCGUAAUAGUUUUCUAAAGAUCUUAUUUAAAAUAUAGAUUACGACCUCGAUGUUGAAUUAAUAACCUAAUUAAGGCAAAACUUAAAAAAGGAAGUCUGUUCGACUUUUAAAAAAUUACAUGAUUUGAGUUCAGACCGGUGUAAACCAGGUCGGUUUCUAUCUUCUAAAAAAUUUUUUACAGUACGAAAGGACCUAAAA
rnacentral:rRNA from 1 species